UCGGCCCCGGUUCACGCUCCCGCAUCCCGCGGGCGGCGACCCGGCGCC
rfam:Streptomyces sp. 4F, complete genome.